rnacentral:rRNA from 1 species
CUCCCGAGAGACCGAUAGUGAACCAGUACCGCGAGGGAAAGGUGAAAAGUACCCCGAGCAGGGGGGUGAAAUAGACCCUGAACCCGCGCGCCUACAAGCGGUCGGAGCUGCCUUGUGCAGUGACGGCGUGCCUUUUGCAUAAUGAGCCUACGAGUUAGUCGUCACCAGCGAGGUUAAGGGCUUCAGGCCCGUCAGCCGAAGUGAAAGCGAGCCUUAACAGGGCGUGAAGUUGGUGGCGCUAGACGCGAAACCUUGUGAUCUACCCACGAGCAGGUUGAAGUCGCGGUAACGCGUGAUGGAGGACCGAACCGGUAAACGUUGAAAAGUUUUCGGAUGACUCGCGGGUAGGGGUGAAAGGCCAAUCAAACUUGGAGAUAGCUCGUACUCCCCGAAAUGCAUUUCGGUGCAGCCUGUGAUGUUCUGUUCCAGAGGUAGAGCUACUGGUUGGACGCGAGGGCUUCACCGCCUAUCAAAUCCGGAUAAACUCCGAAUGCUGGAACACGAAAUCAUGGAGUGAGCCCGCGGGUGCUAAGGUCCGCGGACGAGAGGGAAAGAACCCGGACCACCGGCUAAGGUCCCGGAUGGACAGUUAAGUUGAUCAAACGAGGUGGGAUCGCGGAGACAGCUAGGAUGUUGGCUUGGAAGCAGCCAUUCAUUUAAAGAGUGCGUAACAGCUCACUAGUCGAGCGAUCCCGCGUGGAUAAUACACGGGCAUAAAACUGUCAACCGAAGCCGUGGGGUUAGCUUUAUUGCUAACCGGUAGGAGAGCAUUCCUGCCAGCUUUGAAGGUCACCCGCGAGAGUGACUGGAGCGGCAUGAAAAGCAAAUGUAGGCAUAAGUAACGAUAAUGGGGGCGAGAACCCCCCACGCCGCAAGACCAAGGCUUCCCCGGCAAUGUCAAUCAGCCGGGGGUCAGCCGGCCUCUAAGGCUAACCCGAAGGGGGAUGCCGACGAGAAACGGGUUAACAUUCCCGUGCUUCUCGUCACCGUGACGCGGUGACGGGGUGAUGAAUGGACCGCGCGCAGACGGAAUAGCGCGUUGAAGGCCGUACCCUUUGAGGGUGGUAGUCAAGCACGCCACCGGAGGCGACAGCCGAUAGUACCUCGAGGCCUCGGCCGAGGGGAUAGCGUCCAGGCAAUUAACCCCCUAGAAAACCCGCUAAACUUCAAGUGACGAGGAACCGUACCGUAAACGGACACACGUGGUCGGGUAGAACAUACCAAGGCGCUCGAGUGAUUCAUGGUCAAGGAACUAGGCAAAAUAGUCCUGUAACUUAGGGAUAAAGGACGCUCUAGUGAUAGAGCCGCAGAGAAAUGGCCCAGGCGACUGUUUACCAAAAACACAUGGCUAUGCCAAAUCGAAAGAUGACGUAUAUGGCCUGACACCUGCCCGGUGCCGGAAGGUUAAGAGGAGAGCUCAUCAGUAAUGAGAAGGUUUGAAUUGAAGCCCCGGUAAACGGCGGCCGUAACUAUAACGGUCCUAAGGUAGCGAAAUUCCUUGUCGGGUAAGUUC